rnacentral:lncRNA from 1 species
GAUGCAAACAAGAAGUUGUAUUUUUUGGAUUCCACUUCCAGGCAUAGCUGUCAAGUGUCGAGCAGCCCAGUAUUGCCCCAUGGGUAUAUACUGCCUUGGCCCCAUGCAGUUUUCCUAAGGAUCAUCAGGAAAGUAAGGAGUGGCGAGGAAGAGGCUGUUCUACCCUGGUCAGACACACAGCAAAGCUGACACAGCCAGCAGAGCUCUGCAACAGCAAUGGGUCUGCUACCACUUGGUUGAAAGCAUCUGGCUUCUGGAACGAUAAGACUGGGCUGCAGCAGCAACUGCAGCUCUGUUGGCGCUGUUGGUUGACGAGUGACAGUCUAAGUCGGCCUCGGUUGUCGGCUAAAGGCCGCCGCGGCGCCUAGUGUGGUGAUGGCUGCAAUGUCUGAUGGCGUCUGUGUGAAAGCACAUGCUUAUAGCAGAGAAGAACUUUGUUUCACACAACGCUGUAUGUUAAAAGUGAAUUGUUAUACGGUGCAUUUCUAGAUAUCUCGGUCAGUGUAUUUGAUGGUGUAUUUUCUCUCGCUGCUUGCCUCGGAUUCCGCAUCGUUCAUUGUGAGCCGUGAGGGUAUAGCUAGGUAGCGGCGAUUCGCCACUGUGCACAUGAUUAACAGGGCCAGCUGCGUGUGCUGCAUUGUUGGGGUUCGUCGUCUGUUGUUUGGCACUGCAUAAAUAUUUGGUUAGCUCAGCUGUGGCCAUUGGUUGGGAAAGCUGGCCUGCAGGGACGAUUGCCGGACGGUACGUGGUGGUCUGUCGGUUGCUGGGACUGAGUCGAGCCGACUGGGUGCUGCGAGACGCGGACGUUAUGUCUACUACAGACCUACACAAUGCUUUUAAGGCCAAAAAUGUUAAUGUAGGCAUUUUAUGUAAACCUCCGUAAAAUCAUUUGACGCAAGGCUGGUUCGUUAUAAGACGGUGAAAAUCGAGCGGGUUAUUUGUGUAUACUUAUCCCCUUUCUGAAUGAUUGUAGCGAUUGUAGCGAGAGUCAGUGUGGUCGACUAUGCUCGAGGCUGUGAGACACGGUAGCUGGUGUGGUCGAUGGAGGGGGUGGCAGCAGGAGGACGAGACUGAACGGGAGACGUUUGAUGUGAAAUGCCUUAUGCCGUAGUAUCAAAGUAGUAUCCACUAGUGACUUUGCUUGCUAUCGCUGCGCAUGGAAAUGAUGAUAAAAUUUGAAAACGA